AACGAGUCAGUGUUACGGUGUUUGUCAUUUAGUGAAGACAGAUCUGUGACAGAGUCGCACGUGACGGAGGAGUGACAUUUUAUCCUCUGACAGUCGAGUACACUAAGUAUGUAAAUCCGCUGAACACGCUAUAGACGACAAUAGAACCGAACUAUACAACGAUGGGGCUUUCUGCAGUCAUCCUCGUAGUCUGCGCGUCAUGGCUGGCGGAAGGACAUCUCGCUGACAACAUGGUGCAUGACACAGGGCUGCCAACGUGUCAUGCAGUGCUCCACCAGGCGACACACCCGCCCAUAUCCGCCCCUAUGCCUCCUGACAUCCGAGGGAAGUGGGUGUCAACAAGGUAGGUUCGGUGGGCGUGGCUUAGUGUCUGUCUGUUCCGUUGAUGGGGUUAAUGUCUGUCUGUUAUGUCAGCGGAGGUUAGUGUCUGUGCAUUUCGAU